rnacentral:rRNA from 1 species
UUGUAAUUUGGAGAAGGUGUUUCGGAAGAGAUGAUGGUCCAAGUCCCUUGGAACAGGGCGUCGCAGAGGGUGAGAAUCCCGUAUGUGACCAAUCAUCGAUUCCAUGUGAAACCCUUUCGACGAGUCGAGUUGUUUGGGAAUGCAGCUCUAAAUGGGUGGUAAAUUUCAUCUAAAGCUAAAUACCUGCCAGAGACCGAUAGCGCACAAGUAGAGUGAUCGAAAGAUGAAAAGCACUUUGAAAAGAGAGUCAAACAGUACGUGAAAUUGUUGAAAGGGAAGCGCUUGCAAUCAGACUCGUUUGCAGAAGUUCAGCCUUCUUUCGAGAUGGUGUAUUCUUCUGUCAACGGGCCAGCAUCAGUUUCGGCGGUUGGAUAAAGACUUUGAGAACGUAUCUCUCCUCGGAGAGUGUUAUAGCUCGGAGUGUAAUGCAGCAGCUGAGACUGAGGUCCGCGCUUUUGCUAGGAUGCUGGCGUAAUGGUUGCU